GUCUGAAGUCUCACUAAGGGCGAAGUGGUUGAGAUGUGCAGAGAGCGCCCCCUGCCGGUCAGGAUGAAACACUGCCUCCUCUCAGGUGUCUUCAGUUGUUCGCUGCAGAGAUCAGAGGCGUGAAGAACAUUCACACUGAUUUGAAACGAAGCAUGCGUCCUCAGAGGGAGGAGGUGGGUUCCUGUAGCGUUUUUGGGUUCGGCCCAGCUGAGUCCCAGGAGCAAGGGCUGACACCCCAACCAACACGGUAUCUAAGAUCCAAGGAAUACUCAAGCUCCUUCACAACGCUGUGAUUCUGUGAUGGGAACUCAUCUGAGGUGGUUGAAGCGUCUGAAGAGGAUGCCACCACUCCUCCUUCAUAUGGAUGUUUUCCAGGCAAAACCUACUGGGAGGAGAAUAACUGGCAGGCCCAGAGCUCUCUACUAUAUAUCCUAUCUGACCUGAGAAAAUAUGGUAACGCUUUCUUUUAUGGUACCCUUAUUACCAUGUAAUUAAAAGCUAA